UACGUAGGGGGCAAGCGUUGUUCGGAAUUACUGGGCGUAAAGGGCGCGUAGGCGGCUGCGUAAGUCGGGAGUGAAAGCCCGGGGCUCAACCCCCGGAAUGUCUCUCGAAACUGCGCGGCUCGAGUGCGGAAGAGGCAACUGGAAUUCCCCAGUGUAGCGGUGAAAUGCGUAGAUAUCUGGAGGAACACCGGUGACGAAGGCGGCAUCCUGGACCGGUAUUGACGCUGAGGAGCGAAAGCCAGGGGAGCAAACGGG
rnacentral:rRNA from 1 species